rnacentral:rRNA from 1 species
GGUUUAGUUUAGUGGCGGACGGGUGAGUAACGCGUGGGUAACCUGCCCUAUACAGGGGGAUAACAGUUGGAAACGACUGUUAAUACCGCAUAAGCGCACAGGAGCGCAUGCUCCGGUGUGAAAAACUCCGGUGGUAUAGGAUGGACCCGCGUCUGAUUAGCUGGUUGGCGGGGUAACGGCCCACCAAGGCGACGAUCAGUAGCCGGCCUGAGAGGGUGAACGGCCACAUUGGGACUGAGACACGGCCCAAACUCCUACGGGAGGCAGCAG